rnacentral:rRNA from 1 species
AGACCCGAAACCCGGUGAUCUAGCCAUGGGCAGGUUGAAGGUUGGGUAACACUAACUGGAGGACCGAACCGACUAAUGUUGAAAAAUUAGCGGAUGACCUGUGGCUGGGGGUGAAAGGCCAAUCAAACCGGGAGAUAGCUGGUUCUCCCCGAAAGCUAUUUAGGUAGCGCCUCGUGAAUUCAUCUCCGGGGGUAGAGCACUGUUUCGGCUAGGGGGCCAUCCCGGCUUACCAACCCGAUGCAAACUGCGAAUACCGGAGAAUGUUAUCACGGGAGACACACGGCGGGUGCUAACGUCCGUCGUGAAGAGGGAAACAACCCAGACCGCCAGCUAAGGUCCCAAAGUCAUGGUUAAGUGGGAAACGAUGUGGGAAGGCCCAGACAGCCAGGAUGUUGGCUUAGAAGCAGCCAUCAUUUAAAGAAAGCGUAAUAGCUCACUGGUCGAGUCGGCCUGCGCGGAAGAUGUAACGGGGCUAAACCAUGCACCGAAGCUGCGGCAGCGACACUCAGGUGUUGUUGGGUAGGGGAGCGUUCUGUAAGCCUGCGAAGGUGGCCUGUGAGGGUUGCUGGAGGUAUCAGAAGUGCGAAUGCUGACAUAAGUAACGAUAAAGCGGGUGAAAAGCCCGCUCGCCGGAAGACCAAGGGUUCCUGUCCAACGUUAAUCGGGG